CUGGCGGCGUGCCUAACACAUGCAAGUCGCACGAGAAAGAGGGGCAACUCUUGAGUAAAGUGGCGUACGGGUGAGUAACACGUGACUACCUACCUUCGAGUGGGGAAUAACCUCGGGAAACCGGGGCUAAUACCGCAUAAUAUCUAUGGAUCAAAGCAGCAAUGCGCUUGAAGAGGGGGUCGCGGCCGAUUAGCUAGUUGGUAAGGUAAUGGCUUACCAAGGCGACGAUCGGUAUCCGGCCUGAGAGGGCGCACGGACACACUGGAACUGAAACACGGUCCAGACUCCUACGGGAGGCAGCAGUGGGGAAUUUUGCGCAAUGGGGGAAACCCUGACGCAGCAACGCCGCGUGGAGGAUGAAGGUCUUUGGAUUGUAAACUCCUUUCGAUCGGGACGAUUAUGACGGCACCGGAAGAAGAAGCACCGGCUAACUCUGUGCCAGCAGCCGCGGUAAU
rnacentral:rRNA from 1 species